rnacentral:rRNA from 1 species
UACGUAGGGGGCAAGCGUUGUCCGGAAUUAUUGGGCGUAAAGCGCGCGCAGGCGGUUGUUUAAGUCUGGUGUAUAAACCAAGGGCUCAACCUUUGGACGCAUUGGAAACUGGGCAACUGGAGUGUAGGAGGGGAAAGUGGAAUUCCACGUGUAGCGGUGAAAUGCGUAGAGAUGUGGAGGAACACCAGUGGCGAAGGCGACUUUCUGGCCUAUAACUGACGCUGAGGCGCGAAAGCGUGGGGAGCAAACAGG